rnacentral:rRNA from 1 species
UACUGCCCUUGAGUAUCCCAAGGCGCGUGAGAGAACGCUGGCUAAGGAACUCGGCAAAAUAGCACCGCAACUUCGGGAGAAGGUGUGCCCGCCGACGUGAUGGAACUUGCUUCCUGAGCGUUGGCGGGUCGCAGUGAAAUGGGGGUUGCGACUGUUUACUAAAAACACAGGACUGUGCGAACUCGUAAGAGGACGUAUACGGUCUGACGCCUGCCCGGUGCUGGAAGGUUAAGGGGAGAGGUUAGCGCAAGCGAAGCUUCGAACCGAAGCCCCAGUAAACGGCGGCCGUAACAAUAACGGUCCUAAGGUAGCGAAAUUCCUUGUCGGGUAAGUUCCGACCUGCACGAGGGCGUAACGACAUCCCUACUGUCUCGGCCAGCGACUCAGCGAAAUUGUAUCGGGGGUGAAGAUACCCUCUACCCGCGGCAAGACGGAAAGACCCCAUGAACCUUUACUGCAACUUGGCAGUGAGGUUCGGAACAGUCUGCGUAGGAUAGGUAGGAGGCUUUGAAGUCGGGAUUCCGGUCUCGAUGGAGCCGUCGUUGAAAUACUACCCUGGCUUUUCUGGACUUCUAACCUAGGCCCCUCAACGGGGUCGGGGACACUGCCUGGUGGGCAGUUUGACUGGGGCGGUCGCCUCCCAAACAGUAACGGAGGCGCGCGAAGGUACCCUCAGGCUGAUUGGAAACCAGCCGGCGAGUGCAAUGGCACAAGGGUGCUUAACUGUGAGAGGGACACCUCGAGCAGGUGCGAAAGCAGGCCAUAGUGAUCCGGUGGUCCCGCAUGGAAGGGCCAUCGCUCAUCGGACAAAAGGUACUCUGGGGAUAACAGGCUGAUCGCGCCUGAGAGUCCAUAUCGGCGGCGCGGUUUGGCACCUCGAUGUCGGCUCAUCGCAUCCUGGGGCUGGAGCAGGUCCCAAGGGUUUGGCUGUUCGCCAAUUAAAGCGGUACGCGAGCUGGGUUUAGAACGUCGUGAGACAGUUCGGUCCCUAUCUGCCGUGGGCGCAGGAUACUUGAGAGGAGCUGUUCAUAGUACGAGAGGACCUGAACGGACGCACCUCUAGUGUUCCGGUUGUCAUGCCAAUGGCAUAGCCGGGUAGCUAUGUGCGGAACGGAUAACCGCUGAAAGCAUCUAAGCGGGAAGCCGGCCUCAAGACAAGGUAUCCCGGGGCAUAAGCCCCCUGAAGGCCCCUUGAAGACUACAAGGUGAUAGGCGGGAGGUAGAAGCGCAGCGAUGCGCGGAGCUGACCCGUACUAAUAGGCCGUGCGGCUUGACC